rnacentral:rRNA from 1 species
ACGAUGUCUACUAGCCGUUGGGGCCUUUGAGGCUUUAGUGGCGCAGCUAACGCGAUAAGUACACCGCCUGGGGAGUACGGUCGCAAGACUAAAACUCAAAUGAAUUGACGGGGGCCCGCACAAGCGGUGGAGCAUGUGGUUUAAUUCGAUGCAACGCGAAGAACCUUACCUGGCCUUGACAUACUACAAACUUUCCAGAGAUGGAUUGGUGCCUUCGGGAAUCUAGAUACAGGUGCUGCAUGGCUGUCGUCAGCUCGUGUCGUGAGAUGUUGGGUUAAGUCCCGCAACGAGCGCAACCCUUUUCCUUACUUGCCAGCAUUUCGGAUGGGAACUUUAAGGAUACUGCCAGUGACAAACUGGAGGAAGGUGGGGAUGACGU